UACGUAGGGCGCAAGCGUUGUCCGGAAUUAUUGGGCGUAAAGAGCUCGUAGGCGGUCUGUUGCGUCCGCUGUGAAAACUCGGGGCUUAACCCCGAGCCUGCAGUGGAUACGGGCAGACUAGAGGUAGGUAGGGGAGAAUGGAAUUCCCGGUGUAGCGGUGAAAUGCGCAGAUAUCGGGAGGAACACCGGUGGCGAAGGCGGUUCUCUGGGCCUUACCUGACGCUGAGCCGCGAAAGCGUGGGGAGCGAUCCGG
rnacentral:rRNA from 1 species